rnacentral:lncRNA from 1 species
UCGCUGGACGAACUUGGCGCCCCGGCCUUCGGGCGGUUAUUUUUGGGCACGGCUUUGCCCGCGGCCUAUUUUUGGCACACGGAGGCCCCUCGCAAAGUCUCGCGGCAUUCCGAGUCCGGCGGACGAAGUUGGCCAGCCCCACCCCCCAAGGCUAUAGCCCACCCGUUUUUGUGGCCUUUUUUCGCUGGACGAACUUGGCGCCCCGGCCUUCGGGCGGUUAUUUUUGGGCGCGGCUNNNN